rnacentral:rRNA from 1 species
ABAGUGAACGCUGGCGGCAGGCCUAACACAUGCAAGUCGAGCGGCAGCGGGUCCUUCGGGAUGCCGGCGAGCGGCGGACGGGUGAGGAAUACAUCGGAAUCUGCCCUGUCGUGGGGGAUAACCUAGGGAAACUUAGGCUAAUACCGCAUACGACCUACGGGUGAAAGCGGGGGAUCGCAAGACCUCGCGCGACAGGAUGAGCCGAUGUCCGAUUAGCUAGUUGGCGGGGUAAAGGCCCACCAAGGCGACGAUCGGUAGCUGGUCUGAGAGGAUGAUCAGCCACACUGGGACUGAGACACGGCCCAGACUCCUACGGGAGGCAGCAGUGGGGAAUAUUGGACAAUGGGCGCAAGCCUGAUCCAGCCAUGCCGCGUGGGUGAAG